rnacentral:rRNA from 1 species
GACGAACGCUGGCGGCGUGCUUAACACAUGCAAGUCGAACGGUAAGGCCCUUCGGGGUACACGAGUGGCGAACGGGUGAGUAACACGUGGGUGAUCUGCCCUGCACUUCGGGAUAAGCCUGGGAAACUGGGUCUAAUACCGGAUAGGACUCCUGGCUUCAUGGUUGGGGGUGGAAAGCUUUUGCGGUGUGGGAUGGGCCCGCGGCCUAUCAGCUUGUUGGUGGGGUAAUGGCCUACCAAGGCGACGACGGGUAGCCGGCCUGAGAGGGUGACCGGUCACACUGGGACUGAGAUACGGCCCAGACUCCUACGGGAGACAGCAGUGGGGAAUAUUGCACAAUGGGCGAAAGCCUGAUCGAGCGACGCCGCGUGGAGGAUGAAGUGCUUCGGUAUGUAAACUCCUUUUGCCGGGGAAGAAGUUAUUGACGGUACCCGGAGAAUAAGAAGUUGCUAAACUCGUGCCAGCCGCCGCCGUAA